rnacentral:rRNA from 1 species
AUUGAACGCUGGCGGCAUGCCUUACACAUGCAAGUCGAACGGCAGCACGGAGCUUGCUCUGGUGGCGAGUGGCGAACGGGUGAGUAAUAUAUCGGAACGUACCCUAGAGUGGGGGAUAACGUAGCGAAAGUUACACUAAUACCGCAUACGAUCUAAGGAUGAAAGUGGGGGAUCGCAAGACCUCAUGCUCGUGGAGCGGCCGAUAUCUGAUUAGCUAGUUGGUAGGGUAAAAGCCUACCAAGGCAUCGAUCAGUAGCUGGUCUGAGAGGACGACCAGCCACACUGGAACUGAGACACGGUCCAGACUCCUACGGGAGGCAGCAGUGGGGAAUUUUGGACAAUGGGCUAAAGCCUGAUCCAGCAAUGCCGCGUGAGUGAAGAAGGCCUUCGGGUUGUAAAGCUCUUUUGUCAGGGAAGAAACGGUGAGAGCUAAUAUCUCUUGCUAAUGACGGUACCUGAAGAAUAAGCACCGGCUAACUACGUGCC